AGCGAACGCUGGCGGCAGGCUUAACACAUGCAAGUCGAGCGGGCAUAGCAAUAUGUCAGCGGCAGACGGGUGAGUAACACGUGGGAACGUACCUUUUGGUUCGGAACAACUGAGGGAAACUUCAGCUAAUACCGAAUAAGCCCUUACGGGGAAAGAUUUAUUGCCAAAAGAUCGGCCCGCGUCUGAUUAGCUAGUUGGUAGGGUAAUGGCCUACCAAGGCGACGAUCAGUAGCUGGUCUGAGAGGAUGAUCAGCCACACUGGGACUGAGACACGGCCCAGACUCCUACGGGAGGCAGCAGUGGGGAAUAUUGGACAAUGGGCGCAAGCCUGAUCCAGCCAUGCCGCGUGAGUGAUGAAGGCCCUAGGGUUGUAAAGCUCCUUUAACGGGGAAGAUAAUGACGGUACCCGUAGAAUAAGCCCCGGCUAACUUCGUGCCAGCCGCCGCCGUAA
rnacentral:rRNA from 1 species